rnacentral:sRNA from 1 species
UAUAAAGGAUCAUCGGCUAACGUCGCAACGUCCUGUUGCAACGCCGAUGUUUGCCCAUCCGUGGGCA